rnacentral:rRNA from 1 species
AUUGAACGCUGGCGGCAGGCCUAACACAUGCAAGUCGAGCGGAUGAAGGGAGCUUGCUCCUGGAUUCAGCGGCGGACGGGUGAGUAAUGCCUAGGAAUCUGCCUGGUAGUGGGGGAUAACGUCCGGAAACGGGCGCUAAUACCGCAUACGUCCUGAGGGAGAAAGUGGGGGAUCUUCGGACCUCACGCUAUCAGAUGAGCCUAGGUCGGAUUAGCUAGUUGGUGGGGUAAAGGCCUACCAAGGCGACGAUCCGUAACUGGUCUGAGAGGAUGAUCAGUCACACUGGAGCUGAGACACGCUCCAGACUCCUACGGGAGGCAGCAGUGGGGAAUAUUGGACAAUGGGUGAAAGCCUGAUCCAGCCAUGCCGCGUGUGUGAAGAAGGUCUUCGGAUUGUAAAGCACUUUAAGUUGGGAGGAAGGGCAGUAAGUUAAUACCUUGCUGUUUUGACGUUACCAACAGAAUAAGCACCGGCUAACUUCGUG